AUUAGAUUCAGGAGACCUAUUAAGAUUAUAGAUUUCUUGUAGGCUUUGUGGAUCGUGAGGACUAGCGCAACUAUUCCGAUUCAAAGAUUAGAUAAACGACAGGCAUUGCCUAUUCAGGUUGAUGGCUGGUGCUGACGGGGAGAGCUGAGGCUAGGGUUCAACUCCGUGUUUUGACUUCCGCUGUAGUACUAGCCUUUAUUUGUCUUUCGUUUCCUUGACUUAAGACUUUUAUGUUAUGACUCUAAAUGAUAUCUUUUGAUGAGCUUAGACUCUUGACUCUUACGUAUUUCGAUUAAUGAAUGUUGGUUAUCCGAGGCA